GUAUUUGACGCACUAUUACAGUAAAUGCAAACGCAGCAAACCCCUGCCUGGCUGACUUAAACAGACUAUUCUGGAGUCUGUCUGCAUCAAGAUAUUUUUAGGACAUAGAUGUGCAAUGGCUUUGCAGAGUGGAUGCUAUAUAAAUUAGGGCAGGGUGCUGCAGUCAGCCUCUAUGACAAAUCCCUGUUGAGGAUUGAGCCUCGGUCUAUUAAGGUAAGCAGGGAGAAAGUAGAGCCCUGAUUGGAUAAUACGCAAAGAUCGUCACUUCCGGUGAGGCUAAACCUCUUAGGGGGACUAUGGAGCAGGGGCGGGUCGUGAAACUGGCUGCUCGAUGCUGAUUGGCCAACAUAUUUAAGGAUUUUUGACUUUCAGUGUCCAGACAGUGAGGAGGUUUUCCUCAUGAGUCGUGAGAGAAAAGUGAUCAACUAGUCAGAUCAAUCAUCUUAGGCUUAACUUUUGUCAUGAUUUCCUUGAGUUUAUUGUUUUAGAGCGUUUCACAGCAGCUAUUUUUACAUGUUGUAGUACAGUUUUAUGUCUUUCAACAUUUGUUAAUGCAAUACAUGAUGCUUGGCUUUAAUUGACACCAAAGACACCAGAGAGCAGCAGCCGCCACUGUUCCUUAUGUAUUUCUAAUCACUUUUACAUCAAUUCUGACCAGAUCCUGAGCUACUUCUGAAAAUCAACUCUAAAGAACUCUU